UCCCUGUAACUGACGGAACCGUGGAAAACCACAAGGAAGCAGGGAACAAAUCAGCCGACCGUCUGGGCACAC
rnacentral:ncRNA from 1 species